GGAGGAUGCUCGGGAGAGGUGAGCGUAAUCCCCGCUCCCUGAAGCGCACCAGGGCCCCAGCGCGCUUCCCUCGUCGUCUCCGCCGGAGUCUCACUGCGUGUCCGAGGACCACCGCACCUUUGAUGAGUAAGUCCACUAAAUCCACGGAAGAGGCGAUAAAGUUGGGACAUAAAUCGGAUGGUGUUGUGUCCCUGAUGGAAAGAA
rnacentral:misc_RNA from 1 species